GGGGAUGUUUAGGAUUCGACAGGUAUAGGUCGGGCUCAAGUUGCGUCUGGUAGGUUGCGUCUACCCUAAAACGCUCAGUUAAAUAUAACUGCAAAAAAUAACAACUAUUCUUACGCUUUAGCUGCCUAAAAAACAGCGGGCGUAGAUUCGCCCAACAUCGUCCAUGUGCUGUCAGCGAGUCUUAAAUUAAGUGGACUUACGCUCAAGGCUCCCAUCUGAAGCCAAGAGAAGAGAAUAAUCAGGUUAGUCAAUCGUGUGUGCCUGGUUGCACGGCUUUGCUAUUGAUGAAACUUAAAUAGUGUGACUAUGGGCGUAGAAGCUUGAGUUGCGAUAUGCUUGGACGCGGGUUCAAUUCCCGCCAUCUCCAUAU
rfam:Lactobacillus ruminis ATCC 27782, complete genome.